rnacentral:rRNA from 1 species
CCUACGGGUGGCAGCAGUGAGGAAUAUUGGUCAAUGGGCGAGAGCCUGAACCAGCCCAGUCGCGUGAGGGAGUACUGCCCUAUGGGUUGUAAACCUCUUUUGUCGGGGAGCAAAAGCCGGACGUGUCCGUCUGUUAGAGUACCCGAAGAAAAAGCAUCGGCUAACUCCGUGCCAGCAGCCGCGGUAAUCCGGGGGACGCGAGCAUUAUCCGGAUUUAUUGGGUUUAAAGGGUGCGCAGGCGGAUUUUUAAUUCAGCGGUCAAAUCGUGGGGCUCAACCCCAUCCAGCCGUUGACACUGGGGAUCUAGAGUGUGCGAGAGGUAUGCGGAAUUCCUAGUGUAGCGGUGAAAUGCGUAGAGAUUAGGAGGAACACCAGUGGCGAAGGCGGCCUGCUGGACGACAACUGACGGUGAGGCGCGAAAGCGUGGGGAGCAAACAGGAUUAGAUACCCCAGUAGUC